rnacentral:lncRNA from 1 species
GGAAAAUAGCACCGCUUGGACCUGAUUAGACCAUUUUAUCAUCAGGGUUGGACGUUUAGAAAACCACCUUCCAGCUGUCACUCACACUUCCGGAUGCAUCUACCGGAUGAGUGUUGAUAAACAGGAGCCGGUCAUGAACACGUGCAAUGGCUAGAAAACUCGAGCGAGGAUAGAGCAAAAGUACAGUGCCAUGGAGGAUGCCCAGUCCAGACCCCAUUCAGUCCACUCCACAUACUCGCAGACAACCGAGGAUGCAGCCUCCGCCUUGGGAAAUCAUGCUGAACAUCACCUUACUGUCAGUCAGACAGUGCUGGUGGUUCCGAAGCGCUCAGAGAGCCCCAAUCCGAGUAUGACCGAAGAGACGACUUAUGCCCCUCGACUGGUGUCUUCAGUUGAUGCUUGUACUAACACAGACCCUCCAUACGAAUGCUGCCCAUGGCUGCGCAGACUGUGCCCGUGUCCACCCAGAGGCCUGCUGGCUACCAUUAUCACCAAAGGUUAG